GGUAUUCUUCAUAAACGAGACAAU
rnacentral:siRNA from 1 species